UACGAAGGGUGCAAGCGUUACUCGGAAUUACUGGGCGUAAAGCGUGCGUAGGUGGUGAGUUAAGUCUGAUGUGAAAUCCCCGGGCUCAACCUGGGAAUGGCAUUGGAUACUGGCUCGCUAGAGUGCGGUAGAGGGUGGUGGAAUUCCCGGUGUAGCAGUGAAAUGCGUAGAUAUUGGGAAGAACACCGGUGGCGAAGGCGGCUCACUGGCUCAUUACUGACGCUCAGGCGCGAUAGCGUGGGGAUCAAACAGG
rnacentral:rRNA from 1 species